rnacentral:lncRNA from 1 species
ACACCAGCGUUUCCGACCCACAUGCGUCAACAAGCCCAACCGAAGAGCAACACCGACUUAUGACAGGCCUUGGGCCCUCUCCCCCCAAAAGAUUAGCCUGUUAGGAGGGGACACCCUCAUCCUUAUAAGUCGUGUUAUGUCUCCUUCUACAACCGAUGUGGGACUAAACCCAACAAUCUCCCCCUCACACAUCGGUCACCCAUGGGCCCGCUAACACCAGUGUUCCAACCCACCUACCAUGACUGACCACCCGUGAGUCCACCGAGAUUUAUUCCGGGCACCUGGGCUCUGANNNNNNNNNNAAAAAGACUAGCCUGUUACACCCAUGAGCCCGCUAACACCAGCGUUCCAGCCAACCUACCAUGACCGACCACCCGUGAGUCCACCGAGAUUUAUUCCGGGCACCUGGGCUCUGAUACCACUUGUUACGCAAUCCCGGGUCCGCUAACACCAGCGUUUCCGACCCACAUGCGUCAACAAGCCCAACCGAAGAGCAACACCGACUUAUGACAGGC